CCUACGGGAGGCUGCAGUAGGGAAUAUUGCUCAAUGGGGGAAACCCUGAAGCAGCAACGCCGCGUGGAGGAUGAAGGUUUUCGGAUUUUUAACUCCUUUUGAUAGAGAAGUUAAUGACGGUAUCUAACGAAUAAGCACCGGCUAACUCGGUGCCAGCAGCCGCGGUAAUACGGAGGCUGCAAGCGUUACUCGGAGUCACUGGGCGUAAAGAGCGCGUAGGCGGGAUAGCAAGUCAGAUGUGAAAGCCUAUGGCUUAACCAGAGAACUGCAGUUGAAACUGUUAUUCUAGAGUAUGGGAGAGGUAGGUGGAAUUCUUGGUGUAGGGGUAAAAUGCGUAGAGAUCAAGAGUAAUACUCAUUGCGAAGGCGACUUGCUAGAACAUAACUGACGCUGAUGCGCGAAAGCGUGGGGAGCAAACAGGAUUAGAUACCCGUGUAGUC
rnacentral:rRNA from 1 species